rnacentral:rRNA from 1 species
GAUGAACGCUGACAGAAUGCUUAACACAUGCAAGUCUACUUGAACUUCGGUUUGGGUGGCGGACGGGUGAGUCACGCGUAAAGAACUUGCCUCACAGUUAGGGACAACAUUUGGAAACGAAUGCUAAUACCUGAUAUUAUGAUUUUAGGGCAUCCUAGGAUUAUGAAAGCUAUAUGUGCUGUGAGAGAGCUUUGCGUCCCAUUAGCUAGUUGGAGAGGUAACGGCUCACCAAGGCGAUGAUGGGUAGCCGGCCUGAGAGGGUGAACGGCCACAAGGGGACUGAGACACGGCCCUUACUCCUACGGGAGGCAGCAGUGGGGAAUAUUGGACAAUGGACCAAAAGUCUGAUCCAGCAAUUCUGUGUGCACGAUGACGUUUUUCGGAAUGUAAAGUGCUUUCAGUUGGGAAGAAAAAAAUGACGGUACCAACAGAAGAAGUGACGGCUAAAUACGUG